UGCCAGUCUGUUUGCUUCCUACCUGUCUUUUUUUGUUUUUUUGCCUCCUCUCCUACCUUUGUUAUUGGACUUAUUGGACUUGUUCACUGGUUGCUGCCUGUUCUUGAACUCAGAAUAAAGCUGAACCUUUUAUGUGACCUGCUCCAUCUGGUACACCUCACUGCCUCCCUUCAUUCUCAUUUCAUUCAUUAUUUUCUUUUACUGAUCAAAAACCAACAUGCCGGGAUAUCCAGCGGCCAGACUGUUGAUCAAUCAGACGUUCUGACAUCAAACUGUGAGUAGAAAUUUGUCCCAAUUCUAAAGUGUUUCCAGCUGAUACCAAACAAUAAAUAUUAUUCAGUUUAUCCUCAUCAAAUGAGUUUCCAGCAGGCUUCAUUUUGUAGAAACAUAAAUAAAUCAAAGGACAAUAUUAAGAUGUCAAAACAACUGUGACAAUCAUGUAAAAAUAUCUUUGCACAGAUUCUUUGUUUCCUGCGAAGCUCAAGGCCAGAUUGGAAGUUGUUGUUGUUGUUUUUGUUUUUUUUCCUCUCAGCGCCACAAAGGCAGUUAUGUAAGAGAACCAAGUGUGUCAACAUGUACAAGUAGGACACACAACAACGCUUUCAAAUGGAAAUGAAAGCCCCCCCCACACACACACGUCUGAACACACACACAUACAUACACAUACAUACAUGCCAACACUGACAAUAAACAGCAAGCGCAGCAUUAAAAAACAAGCUGGUGGCGUUUUAUUUGAGAAAACUUGUCCACAACACCGACUGAUGCAGAACGUGACAGGAAAUAUAAUAACUUAUGUGUUGCAUUAUAUAAAUAUAUGCUCCAGUGUAAUGUGUGACAGCUCUGGUGCUCUGUUUUCCUUUUGUUUGCUUCUUCUUCUUGAGAUAUUAGCAGGAAAUACACACAGUUGGUGUUGGUUCACGGUGAUGGAUGGUGGAGCAGUGAUCCUGUGUUCUGCCAAUACAUCAAGCUCUAGUUUUUUACUUCAACCCGAUCAUUAAGACGCUCUCCUUUCUGUUCCUCUUUCUUUGCCUUCUCGCCUCUUUUCUUAAGAUAUUGUGUCGAACCGCUUUUAUUUUUUUGUUUCGCCCUCAUUUACCAAACGAUGCAAUUACGCCACACCUCGUCUUUUUCAUCCCUUCUCUCUUUUUUUGUUGUUCCCUUCCUUCGUUUAGCUCAUUAAUUUAUCAUAAUAUCGGCGUGUUCGACCGGGAACACUCAGUGGCUGCACACAGGAGGAGCAGAAAACAAAGAAACAAAGGGAGAAAAAAGGGGCUGUUGUUGUACAAAUGUCAAUAGUGAAAUUACCCUGUACUUUCUGAAACCGUGAGGCGAAUCAAUUUUCCAUUUCAGUCCACAUUGAUCAGCUCUGCAGCCCCUUGUGGAGAUAAAUAUCCAGCUAUAUUCACUAGACCCAUCAACACAGAUGCAUCUGAGGCAGGAGCGAGAACACAAGAAGAAGGUCCCUGAAGAAGCUCUUCGCUGCCCAGCUAGCUGCUCACUGCAACCCAGCAGUCUUACGGCAGUUCGUGCAACAGUAACGAGAUGUCAUCUAUAGAUUCGUGUAUGUGGACACGAAUUUUCCAUUUAUUUCUUGACACUCAGCACGACUUUCAAACCUGAGUUCAGUUGGAACAGAGCAUGAGAAGAUGCCACAGAUCUUGACGUGAGGACUCGAGUACAACGUAGCGUUUGAACAUCAGAUGUUUGGAUCAGUGUUGUAGGAAUAGUGGGUACAAGUGCCAGAAAAGGGCCUGUGAUGUCUGAAGAAAACAACAAGAUGUGGAAGAUUAAACUGUCAACACAGGACCAGAUAACUGAGGGGAAAAACAACCGAAAGUGACUGACGUGGUGAAGGAGUGAGCACGUGCUACAUCGUCCUUUAGUAUAAAUUGGGAACAUUUCUCCAAUAAAGUUCAUCAUGAUCAGACAGAAGAAAAGUCUGAUUUCACUCCUCUCUUGUAAAUUUUGACAGACUGUUUUUGAAACUGAAUCAAAAAGAAGAAAAAAAAAAAAGGAAAACAGCGUUAUGUGUGAUCCUUCAGUUGGCAAUGCAAAAGAGACGGCAGGACGGCGUUUGAAGUGGAGUCUUUGAAAAAGUUCUUCUGAAAGAAUAACAAAAAGGAAGCGACAGUAAUGCUGAUUUCUGUUACAGAUCAAACUUCCUCUAGUUGCUCACUGACUUUCUUGUGUUUCCAGAAAGAUUUAAUUAAAUUAAAACAGGCUUUAGUUUCACACCUGCUUGUUCAGUUUCUUUCCAAAUUUCUCAGUUUUUACGUGUCUCUUUCCUGUUACUCCCUUCCUGUUCCAGUUGCAGCAUCUGUUCGUAAAUUCAAAUUUAGCCUUGUUAUGAUGUCAGUGUUUACUACGUGGAGAUUUAUCUGUCACUAACUUAAAACCAGCUACUAACCGCGGAUGGAACUGUUGCGUAAACUAGCUUAAUGAUUCAACUGUCAGAGGUAACGUUAGCAUGCUAAUACCUGAGGAGCCGUUUAGACUGAAGAGUAAAAGAUGUAAUAUGGAAUAUGAUCAACACAUUAUUAUACAUUUCACAAAAAAACCCCACAAUGCACCUCAAAUUACAAAACACAAUGCU